rfam:Gorilla gorilla gorilla genomic chromosome, chr6, whole genome shotgun sequence
GCCAGGCACGGUGAUGUGUGCCUGUAGUCCCAGCCUCUCGGGAGGCUGAGGCAGGGGAAUCACUUGAACCCAGGAGGCAGAGGUUGCAGUGAGCUGAGAUCACGCCACUGCGCUCCAGCCUGGGCAACAGAGUGAGACUCUGCCUCAA